rnacentral:rRNA from 1 species
UACGAGGGGGGCGAGCGUUGUUCGGAAUUAUUGGGCGUAAAGAGCUCGUAGGCGGCUAGUCGCGUCGGCUGUGAAAACCUGGGGCUCAACCCCGGGCCUGCAGACGAUACGGGCUAGCUAGAAUUCGGUAGGGGAGACUGGAAUUCCUGGUGUAGCGGUGAAAUGCGCAGAUAUCAGGAGGAACACCGGUGGCGAAGGCGGGUCUCUGGGCCGAUAUUGACGCUGAGGAGCGAAAGCGUGGGGAGCGAACAGG